ACCGACGAGUCCCAAAUAGGACGAAACGCGUGUCCUGGAU
rfam:Schistosoma curassoni strain Dakar, Senegal genome assembly, scaffold: SCTD_contig0000199